rnacentral:rRNA from 1 species
UACGAAGGGGGGCUAGCGUUGCUCGGAAUCACUGGGCGUAAAGGGUGCGUAGGCGGGUUUUUAAGUCAGAGGUGAAAUCCUGGAGCUCAACUCCAGAACUGCCUUUGAUACUGAGAAUCUUGAGUACGGGAGAGGUGAGUGGAACUGCGAGUGUAGAGGUGAAAAUUCGUAGAUAUUCGCAAGAACACCAGUGGCGAAGGCGGCUCACUGGCCCGUAACUGACGCUGAGGCACGAAAGCGUGGGGAGCAAACAGG